CAGUAGCCGCGGUAAUACGAAGGGGGCUAGCGUUGCUCGGAAUUACUGGGCGUAAAGGGCGCGUAGGCGGACAGUUCAGUCGGGGGUGAAAGCCCGGGGCUCAACCUCGGAAUUGCCUUCGAUACUGGCUGUCUUGAGUAUGAGAGAGGUGUGUGGAACUCCGAGUGUAGAGGUGAAAUUCGUAGAUAUUCGGAAGAACACCAGUGGCGAAGGCGACACACUGGCUCAUUACUGACGCUGAGGCGCGAAAGCGUGGGGAGCAAACAGGAUUAGAUACCCGUGUAGUCCCUGUCUCUUAUAC
rnacentral:rRNA from 1 species